CUUCAUCAAGACGUUGCAAAUGUUGUGAGAACAUGGUUGAAAACACAAUGUCGUCGAGAUAGCACAGACAGGUUUUCCAUUUCAAGCCACACAAGACUUAUCGAUCAUGCGUUCGAAUGUGGCAGGCACAUUGCAGAGUCCAAAAGGCAUCGCACUGAACUCGUAGAGCCCAUCAGGGGUAGCAAAUGUCGUUUUUUCUUUGUCGGAUUUGGACAUCGGUAUUUGCCAGUAGCCUGGUCUAAAGUCAAGGCUAGAAAAUUAUUCAGCACCGUGGAGUGAAUCUAGUGCAUCAUCCAUCCGUGACACGGGGUAAACAUCCUUGCGCACGAUUUUGUUCAGCGCACGGUAAUAGACGCAAGAACACACUGAGCUAUCUUCGUGACAAUUGCAACGACAUGAGUGUCAACAGCUCAAGUGACAGUUGAUCCACGAGGCAACAGUUGGGGUUCGAGAGUUUGGUUUAUUGCAGUAAGCAAUGCAGACCCCUCAGAGAAGCGAAUAAGGCCAGGGGUAAUCAGAAUUGCUCGAGAUAGGGUAUGGUCAUAGGGUAGAAUGAGUACGCCGCCAUCCACAAUGUUACAGGAGUUGACACCUAUAAUCUCUUCUCUAGGUGGCCAAAGAACGUAAUCGGAAGAGGUGACGAGACGAAUGCGUUCUUCGUGGUUAGGAAAAGAAUUGCCAGUGGCAUCCAGUUGUGUGAGGCGCUGACGACAAGAGAUGGAAGCAGACGCCAAAGAAGUCCCACCCCAAGAUGAGUUCAUGGGUCACUCACGAAAUACCGCAAAAACAAUGUGGUGAAGAAUUUAGUCUAUGGACACACGAACAGUACACGGUGCGAUUGGACGAAUAAUAACGUUGGCUGCUGCACAAAGAGAAAGGCCGGAGAAGCCAUCAUCUGGUGCUGUGUACAGCAAGCACAUGCUUCGGGCAAGGAGGGAGCCAGCACCACAUCUACAUCAGCAAGAACCUCGGUGCUCAAAAUAAACAUUUUCUGUGCAAA